AUUCCUCCUCCCUUCCUCCCUCCCUCCCUUCCCCCCUCCCUCCCUUCUCUCCUCCCUUCCUCCCUCCCUCCCAUAUCAUGCUCUGGUGACUUGCCUGUUGCUAAAUAUCAAUUAUUAUACACUAUUUGUUCAUCUGAAAUGGCACCCUAUUCCCUAUAUGGGCCCCGGUCAAAAGUAGUGCACUACAUAGGGAAUAGGGUUUCAUUUGGGACACAGCCUAUGCUGUUGAGUUUUUAGGAUACUGACUGACUACAAGGGCAUUUUGAUACUGGUCUUCUAUGCAUUUUGUAAGACUCGCUGAUUUAGUUAUUUGCUGUAGGAGUUUUGUUUCGCCAAGCUAUAGCUACAUACAGGGCACUCUGACGGUGUGCUAUAGUAUAGUUAGUAGACAGAAUAACAAGAGUUUUGGUAAAUGUACAGAUAAUGUACAGAUUAAAAAUGUGUGCCGGACUUCGGUACGUACACACUUAUGCAUCCAAUAAUUACCUCGUCCUCUCCUGAGCAAUAAAAAAAAAGCCAUUUUUUUUCCCUCACGUCUGCUAAAGUUAUGCAACAUGUAGCUUCACAUGAGCUCAAUGAGGUAAAAUAAAACCUGGGUCGUGUUCAUUAUGCACCAAACGGAAGAAAACGGUCUGAAACGGGCAGGGACUAUAUGUUUUUUUUUUUGCGAAACAUUUGUAAAUCGUUGCGUGGCCUAAUGACUGAAGGUAAAGCAUGGAUUGAGGUAUAUGUUAUAUUUGGGCGGGAGGUAUCUUUAAACCAGCCUUUGAUUAAAUAAAGAAAAUGGCAAUGAAUGAACUACUGUAAUUGAUAAAAUAUUAAAUUGUAUUUGAUUAUAAAGUGUUUUAUAGAAUGACCAUUUUAAUGUGCUUGUCUGUGCUGACAGACGGGAGCGAAGAGACACCAUUUUGUCACUGGAAGAUUUGAAGCAAAGCAAGCUAAUCUACUUAGCAUGAAAUAAAUAGUUAGAAAUGUAAAAACACCACUCCAAACUAUACAGUGUUUGUAGCAUUACAUUCUGAUAGGUCAAAACACAACUCCAAACUAUAGACAGUGUAUGUAGCAUUACAUUCUGAUGGGUCAAAACACCACUCCAAACUAUAGAGAGUGUAUGUAACAUUAUGUUCUGAUAUGUCAAAACACCACUCCAAACUAUAGACAGUGUUUGUAGCAUUACAUUCUGAUAGGUCAAAACACCACUCCAAACUAUAGACAGUGUUUGUAGCAUUAUAUUCUGAUAGGUCAAAACACCACUCCAAACUAUAGACAGUGUUUGUAGCAUUACAUUCUGACAGGUCAAAACACCACUCCAAACUUUGGACAGUGUUUGUAGCAUUAUAUUCUGAUAGGUCAAAACACCACUCCAAACUUUGGACAGUGUUUGUAGCAUUACAUUCUGAUAGGUCAAAACACCACUCCAAACUAUAGUGUUUGUAACAUUACAUUCUGAUAGGUCAAAACACCAUAGAACAAACACAAUACUGUAUGUAGCACACAGGCAUAUACAGAGGGACAUUUUGCAUGCACAACACCAUACUCCAAACCACAAAGGGGUGCGGCUAGUUGAGAGACUAGCCUGUGUACCACACAGUCAUAUUCAGAUCGUACCUUACUGCUUUCAACAUACAGUGCAUGGGUUUUGCAUUGAAAGUAAAUUACCAGAAUUUUCAGUUCUCUCUCUCUCUCUCUCUCUCUCUCUCUCUCUCUCUCUCUC